GACGAACGCUGGCGGCGUGCUUAACACAUGCAAGUCGAACGGAAAGGCCUGUCCUUCCUUGUGUUGGACGGGUACUCGAGUGGCGAACGGGUGAGUAACACGUGAGUGAUCUGCCCCCAACUUGGGUAUAAGCCUGGGAAACUGGGUCUAAUUCCCGAUAGGACUGCAGGGUGGUGCCUGUGGUGGAAAACGAUUUUCUAGUGGUUGGGGAUGAGCUCGCGGCCUAUCAGCUUGUUGGUGGGGUAAUGGCCUACCAAGGCGGCGACGGGUAGCCGGCCUGAGAGGGUGGACGGCCACAUUGGGACUGAGAUACGGCCCAGACUCCUACGGGAGGCAGCAGUGGGGAAUAUUGCACAAUGGGCGGAAGCCUGAUGCAGCGACGCCGCGUGGGGGAUGACGGCCUUUGGGUUGUAAACUCCUUUCGACCGCGAGGAAGCCGCCUGGUUGGAAGGGUGGUGACGGUAGUGGUAGAAGAAGCACCGGCUAACUACGUG
rnacentral:rRNA from 1 species